GCUCCUGUAGUUCAACGGAUAGAACAACCGCGUCCUAAGCGGUGGAUGCAGGUUCAAUUCCUGCCGGGAGCACCA
rnacentral:tRNA from 1 species